UACGGAGGGUGCAAGCGUUGUCCGGAUUUAUUGGGUUUAAAGGGUGCGUAGGCGGUUCUUUAAGUCCGGGGUGAAAGCCCACUGCUCAACAGUGGAACUGCCCUGGAAACUGGAGAACUUGAGUACAGACGAGGGCGGCGGAAUGGACUGAGUAGCGGUGAAAUGCAUAGAUACAGUCCAGAACCCCGAUUGCGAAGGCAGCUGACUAGGCUGUUACUGACGCUGAGGCACGAAAGCGUGGGGAGCGAACAGG
rnacentral:rRNA from 1 species